rnacentral:tRNA from 1 species
GAGAGAGGCUCGCAGCACUGAAGACUGCUAAUCUUCAUGACUUUGGUUGGACCCCAAAGCUCACUCG